AAAUUGAAGAGUUUGAUCAUGGCUCAGAUUGAACGCUGGCGGCAGGCCUAACACAUGCAAGUCGAACGGUAACAGGAAGCAGCUUGCUGCUUUGCUGACGAGUGGCGGACGGGUGAGUAAUGUCUGGGAAACUGCCUGAUGGAGGGGGAUAACUACUGGAAACGGUGGCUAAUACCGCAUAAUGUCGCAAGACCAAAGAGGGGGACCUUCGGGCCUCUUGCCAUCAGAUGUGCC
rnacentral:rRNA from 2 species